rnacentral:rRNA from 1 species
GCAUGUUCACAUGAUUAAAGGUAUUCCGGUAGACGAUGGGGAUGCGUUCCAUUAGAUAGUAGGCGGGGUAACGGCCCACCUAGUCUUCGAUGGAUAGGGGUUCUGAGAGGAAGGUCCCCCACAUUGGAACUGAGACACGGUCCAAACUCCUACGGGAGGCAGCAGUGAGGAAUAUUGGUCAAUGGGCGAGAGCCUGAACCAGCCAAGUAGCGUGAAGGAUGACUGCCCUAUGGGUUGUAAACUUCUUUUAUAAAGGAAUAAAGUCGGGUAUGCAUACCCGUUUGCAUGUACUUUAUGAAUAAGGAUCGGCUAACUCCGUGCCAGCAGCCGCGGUAAUACGGAGGAUCCGAGCGUUAUCCGGAUUUAUUGGGUUUAAAGGGAGCGUAGAUGGAUGUUUAAGUCAGUUGUGAAAGUUUGCGGCUCAACCGUAAAAUUGCAGUUGAUACUGGAUAUCUUGAGUGCAGUUGAGGCAGGCGGAAUUCGUGGUGUAGCGGUGAAAUGCUUAGAUAUCACGAAGAACUCCGAUUGCGAAGGCAGCCUGCUAAGCUGCAACUGACAUUGAGGCUCGAAAGUGUGGGUAUCAAACAGGAUUAGAUACCCUGGUAGUCCACACGGUAAACGAUGAAUACUCGCUGUUUGCGAUAUACGGCAAGCGGCC